rnacentral:tRNA from 1 species
GGGCCCAUGGUCUAGUGGUAUGACGUCGCCUUGACGUGGCGGAGGUCCUCAGUUCGAUCCUGAGUGGGCCCA